AAGUUCUGGUGCCCUAGCUAGCCCGCGGUAAAUUUCCCAGCUUCCAAAUAGCGUAUUAUUAAAAGUUGUUGCCAGUUAAAAAAAGCUUCGUAAGUUGAAACUUUCUGACGGCGUGCCCGGUAAAGGGCUUUCGGUUCUGCCCGGAUUAGCGUUCGUUCCAUCCCGUUCUGCCAAAACCCUUCGUUUCGACCCUUUACUGGUUUCGGCGAAGUUGAGUUAGACCAAUUUACUUUGAAAAAAAAUUAGAGUGUUUUCCAAGCCAGGCGAAUUAGCCCCGAAAUACUUUAGCCAUGGAAAUUAAUGGAAAUAGGACCUCUGUUCCCAUAUUAUUUAAAAUUGGCUGUGGGCCAUGAGUUAAUGAUUUAAUUAGGGACCAGUUGGGGGCCAUUAGUAUUUAAUUGUCAGAGGUGAAAUUCUUGGAUUUAUUAAAGACUAACUAAUGCGAAAGCCAUUUGCUCAAGGAUGUUUUCCAUUAAUCAAGAACGAAAGUUAGGGGAUCUAAGAACGAUCAGAUACUGUC
rnacentral:rRNA from 1 species